CAAGUGCUCUAUCAGAGGGCCAUUAGACUGAGGCUCGUGCAUGAGGGGAUAGCAUGCUUUUACUUUCACUCUCUUUGUAAUAAAAAACGAUUUCCCGGUCGGAAUAUUAUCGCUUUUUUACGAGAAAAAUUGCAUAAAAAUUGAUUUUAAACAGCGGUUGACAUGCUUCGAAUGUCUUGAACGCACGAACAAAACGCCGCUAUUUGGUUAUAACAAUGGAUUAUUUGGGACCAAACCAACAUUUGUUAUUGAAGUAGAAGUCCUGGGAGUGCAUUCUGACGAAGACAGCAAAGGUGGAGAGGGAGUAAGAUUACUAGAAAGCAUGCAUGCUGCCAGACCACCAAAGGACCCUAGAGGGAACUGUUUACAGCUGACAACGUGGUGGCAGGUUUCUUGAUGUUCUGCUCUAGAGUUCCAUGGCCCGGCAGACUCACCUGGGAACAGAGGGAUGGACACGUUCGUUUUUUUUAAAGUCUGGGAGACUUUUAGUGGGAGGAGAGUACAUGUGUUUUGGAGUGAGUACAGUAAAUCCAACCAGUGGCCCUGGAUAAUUGUCACGAUCGUCAUAAUGGACGGACCAAGGCGCAGCGUGAGUUGAGUUCCACAUCUUUAAUUUAAAGUGAAACAUUAAAAAAAAUACAAUAAACAGACAACGACCGUGAUAGCCGGGGUGCAACAUUCACACACACAAAAACAAUAUCCCACAAAGCAGGUGGGAACAGGGAACCCUUAAGUAUGAUCCCCAAUUAGAGACAAUGAACAUCAUCUGCCUCUAAUUGAGAACCAUACUAAGAGCACCAACAUAGAAAUGGAAAAACUAGAACAC
rnacentral:lncRNA from 1 species